rnacentral:tRNA from 1 species
UGGGUCGUUGCCAAGUGGUAAGGCCAUGGGUUUUGAUCCCAUAAUUCGGAGGUUCGAAUCCUUCCGUCCCAG